UGAUUGGUGCUUGCAUCAUGAUUUACAUUUGAGUGAGUGGCGAACUGGUGAGUAACACGUGGGAAACCUGCCCAGAAGCGGGGGAUAACACCUGGAAACAGAUGCUAAUACCGCAUAACAACUUGGACCGCAUGGUCCGAGCUUGAAAGAUGGCUUCGGCUAUCACUUUUGGAUGGUCCCGCGGCGUAUUAGCUAGAUGGUGGGGUAACGGCUCACCAUGGCAAUGAUACGUAGCCGACCUGAGAGGGUAAUCGGCCACAUUGGGACUGAGACACGGCCCAAACUCCUACGGGAGGCAGCAGUAGGGAAUCUUCCACAAUGGACGAAAGUCUGAUGGAGCAACGCCGCGUGAGUGAAGAAGGGUUUCGGCUCGUAAAACUCUGUUGUUAAAGAAGAACAUAUCUGAGAGUAACUGUUCAGGUAUUGACGGUAUUUAACCAGAAAGCCACGGCUAACUACGUGCCAGCAGCCGCGGUAAUACGUAGGUGGCAAGCGUUGUCCGGAUUUAUUGGGCGUAAAGCGAGCGCAGGCGGUUUUUUAAGUCUGAUGUGAAAGCCUUCGGCUCAACCGAAGAAGUGCAUCGGAAACUGGGAAACUUGAGUGCAGAAGAGGACAGUGGAACUCCAUGUGUAGCGGUGAAAUGCGUAGAUAUAUGGAAGAACACCAGUGGCGAAGGCGGCUGUCUGGUCUGUAACUGACGCUGAGGCUCGAAAGUAUGGGUAGCAAACAGGAUUAGAUACCCUGGUAGUCCAUACCGUAAACGAUGAAUGCUAAGUGUUGGAGGGUUUCCGCCCUUCAGUGCUGCAGCUAACGCAUUAAGCAUUCCGCCUGGGGAGUACGGCCGCAAGGCUGAAACUCAAAGGAAUUGACGGGGGCCCGCACAAGCGGUGGAGCAUGUGGUUUAAUUCGAAGCUACGCGAAGAACCUUACCAGGUCUUGACAUACUAUGCAAAUCUAAGAGAUUAGACGUUCCCUUCGGGGACAUGGAUACAGGUGGUGCAUGGUUGUCGUCAGCUCGUGUCGUGAGAUGUUGGGUUAAGUCCCGCAACGAGCGCAACCCUUAUUAUCAGUUGCCAGCAUUAAGUUGGGCACUCUGGUGAGACUGCCGGUGACAAACCGGAGGAAGGUGGGGAUGACGUCAAAUCAUCAUGCCCCUUAUGACCUGGGCUACACACGUGCUACAAUGGAUGGUACAACGAGUUGCGAACUCGCGAGAGUAAGCUAAUCUCUUAAAGCCAUUCUCAGUUCGGAUUGUAGGCUGCAACUCGCCUACAUGAAGUCGGAAUCGCUAGUAAUCGCGGAUCAGCAUGCCGCGGUGAAUACGUUCCCGGGCCUUGUACACACCGCCCGUCACACCAUGAGAGUUUGUAACACCCAAAGUCGGUGGGGUAA
rnacentral:rRNA from 1 species